rnacentral:rRNA from 1 species
UAGGGAAUUUUCGUCAAUGGGGGAAACCCUGAACGAGCAAUGCCGCGUGAGUGAAGAAGGUCUUCGGAUCGUAAAGCUCUGUUGUAAGUGAAGAACGGCUCAUAGAGGAAAUGCUAUGGGAGUGACGGUAGCUUACCAGAAAGCCACGGCUAACUACGUGCCAGCAGCCGCGGUAAUACGUAGGUGGCAAGCGUUAUCCGGUAUCAUUGGGCGUAAAGGGUGCGUAGGUGGCGUACUAAGUCUGUAGUAAAAGGCAAUGGCUCAACCAUUGUAAGCGAUGGAAACUGGUAUGCUGGAGUGCGGAAGAGGACGAUGGAAUUCCAUGUGUAGGGGUAAAAUGCGUAGAUAUAUGGAGGAAAACCAGUGGGGAAGGCGGUAGCCUGGUCUGUAACUGACACUGAGGCACGAAAGCGUGGGGAGCAAAUAGG